rnacentral:lncRNA from 1 species
GCAACAACCAUUUUUCUCCUCCAUCCCCCAUAACCAUCACCCGAGAAGGGAGUGGGGACAAGAGAUACCCCGGGAACAUCGGAGGAGUAUAGAAAUAGAGGACUGCUAGAGUCCAAAAUACCAGUAUUGGUAUUAACAGCCAUGACACAUCAACAAAGAAAACAGGUUCAACAACCAGAGUGUAACAAAUCAAGUAACCACACACAAAGCCAACUACUCAGAUACAAAACCAACUCAAUACACACAAAUCACGUAAUAUUGAAUUUUAAGACAAAGUUACCCUCCUUCUUCGCUACCGGAAGAAGAUCGGCCUUCAAAUGACAGUGAAAACCCUAGUAUGAAACCCUAGGUUCAAACGUCGAGUCGGUCACCGGAAAU